GACGAACGCUGGCGGCGUGCUUAACACAUGCAAGUCGAACGGAGUGGCGAACGGGUGAGUAACACGUGGGUGAUCUGCCUUGCACUUCGGGAUAAGCUUGGGAAACUGGGUCUAAUACCGCAUAGUGCAAGAUGAGCUCGUGGCCUAUCAGCUUGUUGGUGAGGUAAUGGCCUACCAAGGCGUCGACGGGUAGCCGGCCUGAGAGGGUGUACGGCCACAUUGGGACUGGGAAACGGCCCAGACUCCUACGGGAGGCAGCGGUGGAGAAUAUAGCACAAUGGGCGGAAGGCUUAUGAAGGGACGACGCGUGGGGGAUGAAGGCAUUCGGGUUGUAAACUCCUUUCGACAGGGACGAGGUAACUGGAGAAGAAGCACCGGCUAACUACGUGCCAGCAGCCGCGGUAAUAC
rnacentral:rRNA from 1 species